ACAUUUCCUAAAAUCAAAAAGUUUAACAACAACAAGGCAACCUUCCCGCUCUUUAAUGCUUUGGGAGAGCUUUAUGAUGGACACUUGGCUGAAGGGACUUGGAAUUGCACUUCUCUUGAGGCACCGCAAGAGGAAGAACCGAAUGAGCAACUUCAGGAUGUAGAAGAUGGACCACAAGGCUUUGAUCUGAAUGUUGUUCAUGAUGUAGAUGAUGAAGUUAAUGAUGCACUCGCUGAAAGGAAUGAAGAUAUGCUUCAAGGAAGGGCUAAUACUCUGUCACGAGAUGAAGAAAGUGGACAACGAAGACCUGCUGCGUCAAGAAACAAGCAAGAAAAGGAACCAAAGAAGCCUAGAAAGACUGACAACAUAGAAAAUAUGAUGAACAAAUACCUAGAAAUGAGGAGCAAGCAAGUAGAAGAUGAAGCUGCAAGAGAAAAGGAAGCAAGAGAAAAGGAGACAAGAGAAAAGGAGGCAGCUCAAAGUGAAGAUUUCUCCAUCAAAAGGUGCAUAUCAGUUCUGAACACAAUGGAAGAAGUGACCAAAAUGGAGAAGGCAAAAGCAUAUUCAGUCUUCACCAAGAGCAAAGAGAAUAGAGAGACUUUCAUAUGUGCAUGUGAAGCGGAUCAAGAAUCAGCUUUGAUUUGGCUAAGAAAUGAGAUGGCUUAGUAGGUUUGGGUGAUCAAUCGGUGAUGCUUAGCACAUCUGGAGGUUUCUUAUUUUGAACUGACAUGCGUAGUUCUAAAGUGGUGUUUCUUCUUAGCACAUCUGUUCUAUCUCUUAGCUGUUGAAGAUGUCACAUGUCACAAGUUAUACCUGUCUGCCAUCGUUAAGCUUUAUAAUAAUGUGUAUCAAUCCGAGCGUGCAUCUAUCAGAAUUUCUUUUUUUUCUCCCUUUCUGAAUCCCAACCGUUGUCUGAUACUGAAAAUUCAGGC